ACAACACAUGUAUUAUGUAUACAUAUUAAUAUCAAUUCCCCACUUUAAAACUAUUAUACACUAAAACUAAUUAGCCCCAUAAAAUCAAUUCCCCACUUUAAAACUAUUAUACACUAAAACUAAUUAGCCCCAUAAAAUAAUAUAAUUAGUAGUGCUCAAACAAUUAAAAUUAGAAAAAAGAAAAAGAGUCAGCAACGUAUAUACUCCCGUUUAACACACGUAUAUACCCUCUGCCAACUAUCCACGCCUAUCAUUUCCCUCUCGUCCCUACAAGAUCUCCACCAUUCUCAAAUCUGCAAUUCUUCAAAAAAAUUCACAAUAUAGAAACAAAUCCCAAAUCAUCUCUCAAAAUUAUUUCACAGAAGCACAAAUUUUCUGCCCAGUCCUAGCUCUCUUUCUCACAAAAACAUAAACAACCAAAAGACUCCCAUCUCUCGUUCCAAAAUCGGCGCCGCAGGCAGCCUUCGCCACUGCUGUUGUCAUGGCCUCUCCGUUGCCGAGCAGCUUCUUACGACCGGGAUUUUAUGAAUUAGGGAUUUGAAGAAAACAAGGCUACUAAAGCAUUAAAGGUCCAAGCUUUAUCAAGAAUGCUUCCUUCAACAGUUUAUGAAAUUCAAUUCCGUGAACUACAGUGAUUGUAUGAAUCAUGAAGUAUGAACUGGAAUGCAGAGGGUUCAGAGAUUUAUGGGUAUACCUUUCGGAAGAAGCAAAAACUUGCAGAAGAUGAUGUAUUGAAACAGAUCACGACUCACUUAAUUUCUCCUUCACACCGUGAUUUCGAGAAUUUGUGUUAUGGAAUCAAAAGUAUGGAGAUUUUUCAUUAUUCAAGGGAUUGAGGAGAAUUUAGCUUUGUGAAAGAGAAGAAAUCUGCAUAGGAAUUGUGGAACGGCGAAUGCUAACAGAUGAAGUUGUGGGGACGGAUAUACAUAUAUUGUAGAGAUUUGAUUUGUUUGUUGGAGAGAUUUUUGGGAGUGGAGAUACGGUUUUUUUGAACGUGGGAAAGGGGUGGAUAAUGGGUAAUUAAUUUCAUAAAAAUUAAUUAGGACUAACUAAUUUUAUUUCUUUAGAAUUUUAUUUGUA